UAAGUUUGAUCCUGGCUCAGGAUGAACGCUGGCGGCGUGCUUAACACAUGCAAGUCGAACGAGGUACCCAUGACUGCGGCUUCGGCCAAAGGAUUGGAAUACCUAGUGGCGGACGGGUGAGUAACGCGUGAGCAACCUGCCUUCGAGAGGGGGAUAACACCGGGAAACUGGUGCUAAUACCGCAUGAUGUAGCGGAGUCGCAUGACUCUGCUACCAAAGGAGCAAUCCGCUCGAAGAUGGGCUCGCGUCUGAUUAGCUAGUUGGUGAGGUAACGGCCCACCAAGGCGACGAUCAGUAGCCGGACUGAGAGGUUGAACGGCCACAUUGGGACUGAGAUACGGCCCAGACUCCUACGGGAGGCAGCAGUGGGGAAUAUUGGGCAAUGGGCGAAAGCCUGACCCAGCAACGCCGCGUGAGGGAAGAAGGUUUUCGGAUUGUAAACCUCUGUCCUAUGUGAAGAGAAGAAGACGGUAGCAUAGGAGGAAGCCCCGGCUAACUACGUGCCAGCAGCCGCGGUAAUACGUAGGGGGCGAGCGUUGUCCGGAAUGAUUGGGCGUAAAGGGCGCGUAGGCGGCCUGUUAAGUCUGGAGUGAAAGUCCUGUUUUCAAGAUGGGAAUUGCUUUGGAUACUGAUGGGCUUGAGUGCAGGAGAGGUUAUCGGAAUUCCCGGUGUAGCGGUGAAAUGCGUAGAGAUCGGGAGGAACACCAGUGGCGAAGGCGGGUAACUGGACUGCAACUGACGCUGAGGCGCGAAAGUGUGGGGAGCAAAUAGGAUUAGAUACCCUGGUAGUCCACGCCGUAAACGAUGGAUACUAAGUGUCGGAGUUAUCCGGUGCUGAAGUUAACACAUUAAGUAUCCCACCUGAGUAGUACGGUCGCAAGGCUGAAACUCAAAGGAAUUGACGGGCACCCGCACAAGCGGUGGAGCAUGCUGUUUAAUUCGAAGAUACGCGAAGAACCUUACCUGGGCUUGACAUCCCACUGACCGUUUUAGAGAUAAGAUUUUCCCUUCGGGGACAGUGGUGACAGGUGGUGCAUGGUUGUCGUCAGCUCGUGUCGUGAGAUGUUCGGUUAAGUCCGAUAACGAGCGCGACCCCUAUCUUUAAUUGCUAACAUUAAGUUGAGAACCUUAAAGAUACUGCCGGUGACAAACCGGAGGAAGGUGGGGAUGACGUCAAAUCAUCAUGCCCCUUACGUCCAGGGCUACAGGCGUGCUACAAUGGCUGGUAUAAAAAGAUGCAAUGUCGCGAGACGGAGCAAAUCUCCAAAGCCAGUCCCAGUCCGGAUUGGAGUCUGCAACUCGACUCCAUGGAGUUGGAAUCGCUAGUAAUCCCGAAUCAGAAUGUCGGGGUGAAUACGUUCCCGGGUGUUGUACACACCGCCCGUCACGCCAUGGGAGUCGGUAAUACCCGAAGGUGGUAGCCUAACCUGAUUUAUUAGGAGGGGGCCAAUUAAGGUAGGACCGGUGACUGGGGUGAAGUCGUAACAAGGUAACCGU
rnacentral:rRNA from 1 species